rnacentral:rRNA from 1 species
UACGGAGGGUGCAAACGUUGCUCGGAAUCAUUGGGCGUAAAGCGCACGUAGGCGGCUCGUUAAGUCGGAUGUGAAAGCCCUUGGCUUAACCGAGGAAGUGCAUCCGAAACUGGCGAGCUAGAGUACUAAAGAGGAUCGCGGAAUUCCCGGUGUAGAGGUGAAAUUCGUAGAUAUCGGGAGGAACACCGGUGGCGAAGGCGGCGAUCUGGGUAGAUACUGACGCUGAGGUGCGAAAGCGUGGGGAGCAAACAGG